rnacentral:rRNA from 1 species
CGGGACGGGUGAGUAACGCGUGGGUAACCUGCCUUGUACUGGGGGACAACAGUUAGAAAUGACUGCUAAUACCGCAUAAGCGCACAGUAUCGCAUGAUACAGUGUGAAAAACUCCGGUGGUACAAGAUGGACCCGCGUCUGAUUAGCUAGUUGGUAAGGUAACGGCUUACCAAGGCGACGAUCAGUAGCCGACCUGAGAGGGUGACCGGCCACAUUGGGACUGAGACACAGCCCAA